CGGUGGAUCACUCGGCUCGUGGAUUAAGAACGCAGCAAACUGCGCGUCGAAGUGUGAACUGCAGGACACAUGAACAUCGACGUUUCUAACGCACAUUGCGGCCCA
rnacentral:rRNA from 1 species